rnacentral:rRNA from 1 species
CCUACGGGGGGCAGCAAUUAGGAAUCUUGCGCAAUGGGCGAAAGCCUGACGCAGCGACGCCGCGUGACUGAUGAAGUCCUUCGGGAUGUAAAAGUCUUUUGCCAGGGAAGAAGGAUGUGACGGUACCUGGCGAAUAAGCCCCGGCUAACUACGUGCCAGCAGCCGCGGUAAUACGUAGGGGGCGAGCGUUGUCCGAAGUCACUGGGCGUAAAGCGCGCGUAGGCGGUCUUUUAAGUUGGAUGUGAAAUCCUGCGGCCCAACCGCAGAACUGCAUCCAAAACUGGGAGACUUGAGGAUGGAAGAGGGCAGGGGAAUUCCUGGUGUAGCGGUGAAAUGCGUAGAUAUCAGGAGGAACACCCGUGGCGAAGGCGGCUGCCUGGUCCAUAUCUGACGCUGAGGUGCGAAAGCCAGGGGAGCGAACG